GGACUACCGGGGUAUCUAAUCCUGUUUGCUCCCCACGCUUUCGUGUCUCAGCGUCAGUUGUCGUCCAGCAAGCCGCCUUCGCCACUGGUGUUCCUCCCAAUAUCUACGCAUUUUACCGCUACACUGGGAAUUCCGCUUACCUCUCCGACACUCAAGCUACGCAGUUUCAAACGCGACUAUGGGUUGAGCCCAUAGUUUUGACGCCUGACUUGCUUAGCCGCCUACACACCCUUUACACCCAGUAAUUCCGGAUAACGCUUGCCACCUACGUAUUACCGCGGCGGCUGGCAC
rnacentral:rRNA from 1 species